rnacentral:rRNA from 1 species
GUGAACGCUGGCGGUAGGCCUAACACAUGCAAGUCGAACGGCAGCACAGUAAGAGCUUGCUCUUACGGGUGGCGAGUGGCGGACGGGUGAGGAAUACAUCGGAAUCUACUUUUUCGUGGGGGAUAACGUAGGGAAACUUACGCUAAUACCGCAUACGACCUACGGGUGAAAGCAGGGGAUCUUCGGACCUUGCGCGAUUGAAUGAGCCGAUGUCGGAUUAGCUAGUUGGCGGGGUAAAGGCCCACCAAGGCGACGAUCCGUAGCUGGUCUGAGAGGAUGAUCAGACACACUGGAACUGAGACACGGUCCAGACUCCUACGGGAGGCAGCAGUGGGGAAUAUUGGACAAUGGGCGCAAGCCUGAUCCAGCCAUACCGCGUGGGUGAAGAAGGCCUUCGGGUUGUAAAGCCCUUUUGUUGGGAAAGAAAAGCAGCAGGUUAAUACCCCGCUGUUCUGACGGUACCCAAAGAAUAAGCACCGGCUAACUUCGUG